rnacentral:rRNA from 1 species
CAUCACUACGCUAGAUGCAUAUCAAUAAGCGGAGGAAAAGAAACUAACAAGGAUUCCCUUAGUAACGGCGAGUGAAGCGGGAAGAGCUCAAAUUUGAAAUCUUCAAGGUUUUACCUUGACGAAUUGUAGUUUAAAGAAGUGUUUUCUGUUGAAGUUUUGGUAAAAGUUCUUUGGAGUAGGACAUCAUAGAGGGUGAGAAUCCCGUAUUUGACCAUUAUUUUCAGCUGUGUGAUACACUUUCAAAGAGUCGGAUUGUUUGGGAAUGCAGUCCAAAAUGGGUGGUAAAUUUCAUCUAAAGCUAAAUAUUGGCGAGAGACCGAUAGCGAACAAGUACCGUGAGGGAAAGAUGAAAAGAACUUUGAAAAGAGAGUUAAACAGUACGUGAAAUUGUCAAAAGGGAAGCGUUUGACACCAGUGUUGUUUUCUCGAAAAUCAAUUAAAUAGGCCGGAUUUUGUAGUUAGUAUUGACCUUAAAGCUUUCUUCACUGCUUUCUUCUCAAUUAUUGAAUGCACUUUUCAGUUAACAAGUCAACAUCAAUUUCUUUUGUUGUAAAAGGGUCAUGAGGAAGGUGGCUUUCUUUUCGGAGAAAGUGUUUAUAGCCUUUGAUCUCUGCAAUCGGAGAGACUUGAGGUCUGCAGCGUAGACUCUUCGGGGUUAAGAUACAUUUGUGCUAAGCUAUAGCUUUUCAUAGACAACUUGUUGACUAUGUUUAGUCCUUGUAGCUUACUCGCUUAUGCUAUUUUACCUACGCUUAGGAUGUUGACACACGCGCGUGCUCG